UUCUUUUUAAGUUCGUAGAUUUUGUCCCUUCGGGUACAAUUUGAGACAGGUGGUGCAUGGUUGUCGUCAGCUCGUGUCGUGAGAUGUUGGGUUAAGUCCCGCAACGAGCGCAACCCUUGUGUUUAGUUGCAAACAGGUCAAGCUGUGCACUCUAGACAGACUGCCGUGGACAACACGGAGGAAGGUGGGGAUGACGUCAAAUCAUCAUGCCCCUUAUGAUCUGGGCUACACACGUGCUACAAUGGCCGGUACAACGGGCAGCGAAGGAGCGAUCCGGAGCGAAUCCUAAAAAGCCGGUCCCAGUUCGGAUUGCAGGCUGAAACUCGCCUACAUGAAGUUGGAGUUGCUAGUAAUCGCGAAUCAGAAUGUCGCGGUGAAUGCGUUCCCGGGUCUU
rnacentral:rRNA from 1 species